ACCUGUUACAGCCGACAACGCCACUGUUCGUCGCACUUUUUUUUUUGUGUGCGCCGCCCGCUAAACUGCGCUACGGCUACGGAUUUCACUAGUACCUCGUAGCCACCACGAAGGAAGUCGCCAAUCCCAAUGCCAGAAAGGAAGUCUCACGAAUUCCCUCAUGUGCCGAUGUGCGCACCGCCUCAGAAUGCUGGAACGGGUAUUCCUCUUCUCGCCGCCGUCCUCCGCUCCGGUGAGGGUCGCUACCGCUUUCCGGAUGCGCUUCCUACUCGUUACUGACAGAGGCAAUUUUGGUUCAACAUCUUCUAGAAGAGGGGAUUGACUGCACUAUCCCCAAGCAUUGAGGAAAGCAGUUUUGAGGCUUGGUGGAGUUCUUCAGCUGCUCGCCUUAAUGGAGGCAUCCAAAACGGCUUCAACUCUCUAGUGAUUUUAGGAGCUUGGUGUAUUUGGCGGCACUGUAACGAGUGUGUUUUUGAAGGUGUUCCGCCUAGUGUCGCUAGGGCCUUGUCUUUAGUUGAGGAUGAGUAUUGUUUGUGGUGUCUUGUUGGUGCUAAGGGUUUGUCUGGCUCUCAGUUUAUGGUCAUGACCUAGGCUGAGGCACGUUGUUUCUUCUCUGGAGUAGGUGUUUAAGUGUUAGCUUUUUUUAGUGUUAUGUCUUUUUCUUUUUCUGUAGGGCUUUUUGGCCCUUGUAUUGUUCUCUUAUCUUUUAAUGCAAUGAUACACAACUCUCUUGCGUGUUCAAGAAAAAAAAACCAUCGUGAUUAUAAUU